UGUCAGUUAUACUUAUUUAUCAGCAUUUCUGAAAAUUUUGUAGUAAGAUGCGAAAUAAAGUAUAUGUAAACAACAAGAAAAGGACAAAAAUAAAAGCAAUAUACAGCUGAACAAUUAAAGAAUAAUCUAUUGGAGUCAUCACCAAGUUUUUGAAUUUACUCAACAUGAGUACAGAAAUGAGCUGUGUAUUCUGGAGUACAGUGAUGGCAGUAGUCACACUAAGAGUAAAUUCUUGAACCAAAAUAAUCCCUACUGUGAUACUGUGGAGUUUAAUUAUUCUAAGUGUAAGUAGCCCAGAAUACUUAGCAUUUGCUAUAUGUUUGUUUAUGAUGGCUAUAU
rnacentral:lncRNA from 1 species